GUGCUUCACUUAUAUCUUUUGCGCUAGAUAAUUUUGCUAUAUGUGCUUCACUUAGAUCUUUUAGAGCACGGAUGUGCGUGACUUGGUAGUUGGUUUGUGCUAUGAAAGUAGUCCCAAAGGUGAUAGGUACCCAAAGAGGAUACAAAAACUUCCAUCUUCAUUUGCAUUGAGUAGAAAGAGAAGUUUGAUUCCUCUCAAUUAGUUUUGAGACGUGGAUUUGGUAAUAUUAAGAGUUAUGUUAGUAGGGUGUUGUGAAUCUAGAAAUACUUGUGUUGAAGUUAGUGAUUCCCGUUACAUGCACGUAUCGUGAACCGCUAUGUUAGGAAGUCGGAGCAUAAUUGAUCUAUUGGUUGUCAUCCUUUGUGUUGCGGUCGGGAUCGCGCAAUGGUUAACACCUACCAACCCUCCCCCUAGGAGU
rnacentral:lncRNA from 1 species